UGUUGAAGCCAUUCAUUCUUGAGAUGAUU
rnacentral:piRNA from 1 species